rnacentral:rRNA from 1 species
CCUACGGGCGGCAGCAGUAGGGAAUCUUCCACAAUGGGCGAAAGCCUGAUGGAGCAACGCCGCGUGGGUGAAGAAGGUCUUCGGAUCGUAAAACCCUGUUGUUAGAGAAGAAAGUGCGUGAGAGUAACUGUUCACGUUUCGACGGUAUCUAACCAGAAAGCCACGGCUAACUACGUGCCAGCAGCUGCGGUAAUACGUAGGUGGCAAGCGUUAUCCGGAUUUAUUGGGCGUAAAGGGAACGCAGGCGGUCUUUUAAGUCUGAUGUGAAAGCCUUCGGCUUAACCGGAGUAGUGCAUUGGAAACUGGGAGACUUGAGUGCAGAAGAGGCAGGUGGAACUCCAUGUGUAGCGGUGAAAUGCGUAGAUAUAUGGAAGAACACCAGUGGCGAAGGCGGCUCUCUGGGCUGUAACUGACGCUGAGGUUCGAAAGCGUGGGUAGCAAACAGGAUUAGAUACCCUAGUAGUC